rnacentral:misc_RNA from 1 species
GAACGCACCUUGCGCUCUCUGGUAUUCCGGAGAGCAUGCCUGUUUGAGUGUCAUGAACUCUUCAACCCGCCAGUUUCUUGUUAGACUGUGUCGGUGUUUGGUUUCUGAACGUUGCCAGUUCCUUUAGUGUGAACUCUUGGCUCGUUUCAAAUGUAUUAGCAUCUCAAUUUCGAAAUUUGGAUUGACUCAGCGUAAUAGACUAUUCGCUGAGGACAUUCUUCUCCGGAAGGGUGGCCGAAUAUUAGAUCACGAUUGAUGCUUACAGCACUCUAUCUAGUCAACUUUUAAGAUUAGACCUCAGAUCAGGCAGGAUUACCCGCUGAACUUAAG